GUUGUAUGGUUAAGUGACUAAGCGUACACGGUGGAUGCCUUGGCAGUCAGAGGCGAUGAAGGACGUACUAACUUGCGAUAAGCGCAGAUAAGGCAGUAAGAGCCGUUUGAGUCUGCGAUUUCCGAAUGGGGAAACCCAACUGCAUAAGCAGUUACUGUUAACUGAAUCCAUAGGUUAACAGAGCAAACCGGGGGAACUGAAACAUCUAAGUACCCCGAGGAGAAGAAAUCAACCGAGAUUCCGGUAGUAGCGGCGAGCGAACCUGGAUUAGCCCUUAAGCACUCGUUGAAGUAGGUGAACAAGCUGGAAAGCUUGGCGAUACAGGGUGAUAGCCCCGUAACCGACGCUUCAUCGAGCGUGAAAUCGAGUAGGGCGGGACACGUGAUAUCCUGUCUGAAUAUGGGGGGACCAUCCUCCAAGGCUAAAUACUCCUGACUGACCGAUAGUGAACCAGUACCGUGAGGGAAAGGCGAAAAGAACCCCUGUGAGGGGAGUGAAAUAGAACCUGAAACCGUGUACGUACAAGCAGUAGGAGCACCUUCGUGGUGUGACUGCGUACCUUUUGUAUAAUGGGUCAGCGACUUAUAUUCAGUGGCAAGGUUAAC
rnacentral:rRNA from 1 species